GGCGGCAGGCGUUAACACAUGCAAGUCGAGCGGUAGCAGAUCUAGCUUGCUAGAUGCUGACGAGCGGCGGACGGGUGAGUAACGCGUAGGAACCUGCCCACGUAGUGGGGGAGUAGCCCGGGGAAACGUCGGAGUUAAUACCGCAUACGCUCUACGGAGGAAAGAGGGGCGUUCGGGCUCUCGCUAUUGGAUGGGCCUGCGUGAGAUUAGCUAGUUGGUGAGGUAAUGGCUCACCAAGGCGACGAUCUCUAGCUGGUCUGAGAGGAUGAUCAGCCACACUGGGACUGAGACACGGCCCAGACUCCUACGGGAGGCAGCAGUGGGGAAUAUUGCACAAUGGGCGCAAGCCUGAUGCAGCCAUGCCGCGUGUGUGAAGAAGGCUUUCGGGUUGUAAAGCACUUUCAGUGGGGAGGAAGGCCUCGUAGUUAAUAGCUGCGAGGAUUGACGUUACCCACAGAAGAAGCACCGGCUAACUCCGUG
rnacentral:rRNA from 1 species